GUUGAAUAGUACAAAUAGUAUCCCAAGGUCUGGCCCUGUAGGAGCUUCUUCCAGUAUGGAUAUCAGUAAUCUAGAGAAGCCAAAUGCUGGUGUCAGAGGGAGAUCUAGCCCUUUGAGAAGACUCCUAGACCCACUGCUGCGGCCUAGGGGGUUGCAUUCAGCUGAGACUUGUCCGCCUCCUUAUGGGAACUCAAAUGGCAAUACUUUGCCCACUAACCACAGUAAGCACGUUCAUAUCGGCCUAAGGGGUUGCAUUCAGCUGAGACUUGUCAGCCUCCUAAUGGAAACUCAAAUGGCAAUAUUUUGCCCACUAACCACAGUAAGCACGUUCAUAUGAAAAAGCACCAGUCCUCAACUCUUCAGGCUCUUCUGCAG
rnacentral:lncRNA from 1 species